rnacentral:rRNA from 1 species
GACGAACGCUGGCGGCGUGCCUAAUACAUGCAAGUAGAACGCUGAAGGAGGAGCUUGCUUCUCUGGAUGAGUUGCGAACGGGUGAGUAACGCGUAGGUAACCUGCCUGGUAGCGGGGGAUAACUAUUGGAAACGAUAGCUAAUACCGCAUAAUAGUAGAUGUUGCAUGACAUUUGCUUAAAAGGUGCAAUUGCAUCACUACCAGAUGGACCUGCGUUGUAUUAGCUAGUUGGUGGGGUAACGGCUCACCAAGGCGGCGAUACAUAGCCGACCUGAGAGGGUGAUCGGCCACACUGGGACUGAGACACGGCCCAGACUCCUACGGGAGGCAGCAGUAGGGAAUCUUCGGCAAUGGACGGAAGUCUGACCGAGCAACGCCGCGUGAGUGAAGAAGGUUUUCGGAUCGUAAAGCUCUGUUGUAAGAGAAGAACGAGUGUGAGAGUGGAAAGUUCACACUGUGACGGUAUCUUACCAGAAAGGGACGGCUAACUACGUG